ensembl:lncRNA
AUGCUUUAAGCAUCUAAUCCCUGCAAGAUCACCAUUGCUAGGAAAUCCUGAAAGAUGAGCUUUGUGUAGAUGGAACUGCAACACAUUGUUGUCUCAGUUGCUCCCCUAUUUUUUCUCUUUCUCUAGAGACAGCCAAUAUACUAAGGAGACAAAAUGCUAAUUGCACUUGUGAUGGAAAAAAAUGAUAGGAAUCUGGCUCUGGAAAUCCUUGAUCUGGGACAGAGAUUACUUGCUAAUGAAAUGUGAAUGCAUACCAAACUACACAAACUUGGUUUCCAAUUCUGCUCAAACUGGAAAGACACUGGAGCAGAGGUCUGCAAAGUAUAGCUGUCACAUAAUACAGUAUCAGAGGAAAACACUUCUGCUCAACUUCAACAUAAGUCACCAUACCUGGCAUACUUGCAGCUAUCAGAGGCAGAAUGGUCUUCUCCAUCCAGAGAUUUUGAAAAUGAAAUGGACAGGAAGUUGUAUGCAGGUGAAUAAUUUCUGUUUUAUGAGAGUACUGGGCAAGACAGGACUUUGAUUCAUGCCAAGGAUCCUUUUUGUGUUGAAGGAAGAAAAACUUGAGUUUGUAUUCAUGAAGGACAGAAAAACUUUGUCAGUAGUGGGAAAAAAAGAAAGAAAUUUGUUCUGAGAGUGAGGGAAGAAAUCUGCUUGGUUAUUUUCCCUAAUAUUAGCUUGUAACUUACAGCAUUGUUCUGAUGUAACUGAUGAACCAUCCCUGUAGAAAUGCAUUGGUUUAAUUUUUAUAAAAAUGAAAAACUGCAGAAGUCAUAAAUGUGGCUCCUUGUGCAUACUACGUUCCUCUGGCACCACAGUAUCAAGCUGACAUUGCUAUAAGCUUUUAUAUAUGUGAGACAGUCCUUAGCUCUGCUCUCCACAGCAUGGAAGUAAUAGUGUAAAAUGGAAGAUGGACUGAGAGUAUGUAUUUUUGAUGUCUCAUUAUCUGUUUCAUUGCAACAUUUCAUUGAUAAUAAGCAUAAUUUAUGAUAAAACAUGAAAGAAAAUGUUUUCAGUCUGAUUUCUCUAAUAAUAUUUAUAAAAAGAACUGCCUAACAACAGCUCUGAAACAUUAAGAGCUGCCUUACAGGAGCAUAUGGGAGUCUCCAAUGUAAAUUCAUGACAGGUGUCUACUCAAAAUUUAUUCUGAUAGUAGGUGAGCGGACUCAAACAUGCUCAACACCUAAAUCCUUCAGUUAAAACCUAAAACUAUUGAUUGAAAGCAAACUAUCUCUGUAUAUUUCUUAUUCAUUCCUGCUCUCAGCAGAACUCUUAGACAAAUUGUUUUGUACCAAUACACAUUGCUGUAUCCAGUAUUGUCAUCUGCUGGCAGCAAUUGUUAAAUUUGCGAAUGAAGAGAAGUAAAUGGGAACCCACCAGAGUGAACAGAUUCAUAGAAUGUAAAAAACAGGAUAUGCUAUAUAAACUGAAAUCUCAGAAUGCCUGUAGAAAAUGCAAUUGCCUUGGAGAACAUUUCUGCUCAAACAGAGCAUAUACAUUGUUAAUCCCCAGCAUCGAAAGUA